rnacentral:tRNA from 1 species
GGCCGAGUAGCUCAGUUGGUAGAGCAGGGGAUUGAAAAUCCCCGUGUCGGCGGGUCGAUUCCGUC